CGGUGAGGUAGUCCAAAAUCCAGGUAGUGAGGUGAUGGUCCACUCCAGAGUUCUCCAGCUUCUCCUUCAGAACCGUGAGAAGGGGUUAGACAGGCGGCCAAAGGAUCUAAUGAGGGCCAGGGCUGAAGGAAUUGAUGACUCCAGAUCUGUAAUAUACAGAAGGAGGUCGUCUGCAUACAAGGAGCACUUAUGAAUGAUGUUUCCCCUAGUGAUCCCCCUUAUUCUGGGAUCCAUUCUCAAUGCUGCCGCCAGCGGCUCUAUUGCCAGAUUGAAUAGCAGGGGGCUUAAGGGGCAUCCCUGGCGGGUGCCUCUAUGUAAGGAGAAGUAUUCUGAAAUAGUGUUAUUGGUGCGGACUGAAGACGGGGCGCUGAGUACAGAGUCCUGAUCCAUGAAAUAAAAUUAGAACUGAAGUCAAAUUUUUUCAAAGCGGAGAACAGAUAUUGCCAAUCCACAGUCAAAAGCCUUCUCGGCAUCCGGGGUGAUCAACUGAAUGGUCAGAAUAUAUGAUAUUUAACAGCCGUCUGAUAUUGAAAUAUGACUGGCGGUUCACUACAAAGCCUGUUUGGUCCUCUUGUAUAAUAGAAGGUGCUACCUUCUCAAUACGAAGUGCAAGCGCUUUUGUGAGGAUCUUAUAAUCCACAUUCAGUAGACUAAUGGGGCAAUAGGAUCCACAUUUUUGAGGAUCCUUGUCUGUUUUGAGUAUUACAGAGAUUGUGGCUUGGGACAGAGUUUGUGGCAAUGUGUUUGUUGCCUGAAUUUCUGAAAAAACCUCAGACAGUAACGAAACUAACUUGCCGGCAAAGCGUUUAUAGAAAUCACACCAGAAGGCGUUUGCAAAGAAUUAACUGCCUGCAAUAUUUCCGCAGAGGUGAUAGGUCUUUCUAGUAGCUCACGUUGGCCUGGGUUAAUAGUGGGAAUAUCUAUGUUCCUCAAAAAGGAAUCCAAGUCAGCCUCUGAAUAAUCAGUGCAGGAAGUAUAGAGAUCCUGAUAAAAUAGCUUGAGUGUGUUACCACCUGACCGGAGUCUAACUGUAUAUCGGAUAUAGACUGAGCUGUGGCGGAUUGACGAAGCUGAUGCGAAAGAUACCUACCUGCUUUUUCACCAUGCUCGUAUAUGUGAUGUGUUGAUCUAAGUAGGAGCUUCUCAGUUUCUUUAAUAGAAAGGGUGUUACAUUCAGACUGCAGCAGUACCUUCUGCUUAUAUAGAUCAGCGGUUGGGCAGGUAGCAUAUUGUGUGUCAAUGUUAGCUAUGAGCCCUGUCAGCUCUCGAAGCCGUUCGUUUUGCUUUUUAUUCUUAUAAGAAGAAAAAGAAAUAAUUUGGCCCUGCAGAUAUGCUUUUUGUCACGUUCCUGGGUCUUAUGACCCAGCGUUUUGAGUUUUAGUUUAUUUUGAUAUUUAUGGUUUGUUUAGGUUCAUUAAGUUAUUCAAGUUCAUUUGUUGUUAUAUUCCCCUUGUGUUUUCAACCCUUGUGUUAAGUCUCCCUUAUCCCUCAUGUGUUUCAUGUCUGUUUCUUAUGUUGUCAAGCUCAUGUAGUCAUGUCUGUGUUUCAUUGUUUCCUAUUUUAUUUUGAAAGAGGUCCUGUGCUUCUGUGUUUUGUUUUACUCUUCCCCUGUGGCGUCGUUAUGUCUACUGUGCCUUUCUGUCCCAUGUUUCAGGUCCCUAUGUUCUGUCUUCCAGUCGGUUAAGUUCACAUGUUUUGAGUUCAGUCAGUGUGUUUCCUGUUUUACUUUCACAGUCUGUCCUAUGUUAAUGUUUCUAGUUUCGCUUCCCUUGUCUCGUCCUGUGUAAUUACUCCCAGCUGUGCUCUCCUCCUGUGGCUCAUUCCCCCUCGUUAUCCCUCUGUGUAUUUAAGCCCCGUGUUUCUCUUUGUCAGUGUUGUGUCCACCCUCAUAGCUGUGUGAUUCUCCCUGUGUUUUCAUGUAUGAUUUAUUUGUAGUUUUCCCAGUUUAGUUUUGUUCUUUGUUUCCUUUCCUCGCCUGCAACAAAGCAGUGUUUUGAAUUCACUUUUGUCUCGAGAAAGCUUGAUGUGGUGUUCAAUGAACUUGCAAAACUCCUCAUCUGACAUUAAUGCAUGUCUUUCAUCCUGUUUUCCUUCUUUCACCCCAACCGGUCGCAGCAGAUGGCCGCCC